rnacentral:tRNA from 1 species
GCCCCUAUGGCGGAAUUGGUAGACGCGGUAGACUCAAAAUCUACUAUCCUAAAGGAUAUGCUGGUUCAAAUCCGGCUAGGGGUA